UACGUAGGCAGCGAGCGUUGUCCGGAGUUACUGGGCGUAAAGAGUGCGUAGGCGGUUUUCUAAGUUUGGUGUGAAAUCUCCCGGCUUAACUGGGAGGGUGCGCCGAAAACUGGAAGGCUUGAGUAUGGGAGAGGUAAGCGGAAUUCCUGGUGUAGCGGUGAAAUGCGUAGAUAUCAGGAGGAACACCUGCGGUGUAGACGGCUUACUGGACCAUAACUGACGCUGAGGCACGAAAGCGUGGGUAGCAAACAGG
rnacentral:rRNA from 1 species